GCAGCUGCCAGGAUGAGGCUGCUGUGUGGCCUGUGGCUGUGGCUGUCCUUGCUGACAGUCCUGCAGGGUCAGACCUCAACCCCCCCGCCACUCCCGCCCCCAAUGCAGAGCUUCCAAGGAAACCAGUUCCAGGGGGAAUGGUUUGUCCUGGGCCUGGCGGGCAACAGCUUCAGGCCGGAGCACAGGGCGCUGCUGAACCCUUUCACCGCAACUUUCGAGCUAAGUGACGCUGGUGGCUUUGAGGUGUGGAAUGCCAUGACUCGAGGCCAGCACUGUGACACGUGGUCUUAUGUGCUGAUACCAGCAGCCCAGCCCGGGCAGUUCACUGUGGACCAUGGUGUGGGUAAGCUGGUCACGGGAGGGAGGGAUGGGGUGCUGGCCCACAGGGACGUGACGUCUGUGCCCCCUCAGAGCCCGGGGCAGACAGAGAGGAGACCCGGGUGGUGGACAGCGACUACACCCAGUUCGCCCUGAUGCUGUCCCGCAGACACACGAGCAGGCUGGCCAUCCUCAGGAUCAGCCUGCUGGGCAGGAGCUGGUUGCUGCCUCCCGGGACGCUGGACCAGUUCAUCUGCCUGGGCAGAGCUCAGGGCCUCUCGGAUGACAACAUUGUCUUCCCAGAUGUGACCGGUAACAUAGCUCACCUGCAGGCAUGCUGGGCAGUAGGCACGGGGCCCGCAGGAAUGAGUUUGGUUGACCCUAGAGGAGCUGGACCCAGUGUCUGCCCAGGGAGCUCAGCCCCAGCCUGCACUCAGGUGUCUCCAGGCUCCUGGGUCCCUGCGCUCAACCCAGGCUCUGAGCCACCUCCUGCCGCCCUGGGUCCCCUGUCCCGGGCCACCUCCUCCCACCCCGGGUCUCCUGUCCUGGGCCACCUCCUUCCACCCCGCGUCCCCUGUCCCGGGCCACCUCCUCCCUCUGGGUCCCCUGUCCCAGGCCACCUCCUCCUGCCCCUCCCACACCAGGUCCCCUGUCCUGGCCCACCUCCUCCCACCCAGGUCCCCUGUCCCAGGCCACCUCCUCCCUCUGGGUCCCCUGUCCCGGGCCACCUCCUCCCACCCCGGGUCUCCUGUCCUGGGCCACCUCCUCCCACCCCAGGUCCCCUGUCCCAGGCCACCUCCUUCCACCCCGCGUCCCCUGUCCCGGGCCACCUCCUCCUGCCCCUCCCGCCCCAGGUCCCCUGUCCCAGGCCACCUCCUCCCUCUGGGUCCCCUGUCCUGGGCCACCUCCUCCCCUCACCCAUCCCUGCUCACAAGGAGCUUGGACUCAUCCCAGGAGGUGCCCUGGACCUUAGCAGCCUGCCCUGGGUGGCAGCCCCAGCCUUACUACUCAGAGAGCCCCGGCCCCCAAGGCCUGACUCUUCUUGUGGGAGGGCGAGGUCAGCCAGAGCCCCUCCUCUUCCUGGAGGGAUGCCCACCGUGCCCCUCUGAUUCCUGCCUCUGGUGCUUUACAUGUGCAUAACCACAUGCACACACACUCACGCAUGAGCAAACGUGUACAGACUGGCACAUGCCUCCACAUGCGAACACCCACUUACACACACGCCACUCACACUGGCAUACAUGCUGUCUACCCAUGCACAGGCACACGUGCUGGUCUGCACACACCUGUACACACCUGCACGCUCCCUAUGCCAGGCCUCCUGGGUCUGCAGUGAGUCUGGGGGCCCACGGGGACAGGGACAGGUGAGGGGCUUCCUGAGGACCUGGGGCUGUUGGCAGGGCAGCCGCUGUGGGUCACAUCUUCCGCCCCUUCUCAGCCUCCCUCACCCCAGCCCCUUCCCCUAGACCCACUGCUGGUCCCCUUUCUCCCUCCUGCUCCUCACCCGAAGCCACCUGCCCCUCCUUGUACCCUCGCUUGCUUUCUCCUGGGCUCUGUCCCCUGCUCCCCCUUUGUCCUCCAUCCCGACUCCAUCUCCCCCACCAGGCUGGUCACCCCAGGCCAGUGUCUGUUGAAGGAUGAAGCAGCUCCUGUCCGGCCCAGCCCUGCCUCACAGCUGCGCGAGCUCUGCCCUCCUCAGCUCUCAAACCUGAAUAAAUGCACCAAGCCCAGA
rnacentral:sRNA from 1 species